GACGAACGCUGGCGGCGUGCUUAAGACAUGCAAGUCGUACGAGAAAGUCUCUUCGGAGACGAGUAAAGUGGCGCACGGGUGAGUAACGCGUGGGUAAUCCGCCCUUAGGUUUGGGAUAACCCCGGGAAACCGGAGCUAAUACCGAAUGAGACCACGACGACCUCGGUCGAUGUGGGAAAAGGUGGCCUCUUCUUGAAAGCUAUCGCCAAAGGAUGAGCCCGCGUUUGAUUAGCUAGUUGGUGAGGUAAUGGCUCACCAAGGCGACGAUCAAUAGCUGGUCUGAGAGGAUGAUCAGCCACACUGGAACUGAGACACGGUCCAGACUCCUACGGGAGGCAGCAGUGGGGAAUUUUGGACAAUGGGGGCAACCCUGAUCCAGCCAUGCCGCGUGAGUGAAGAAGGCCUUCGGGUUGUAAAGCUCUUUCGGCCGGGAAAAAAUCGCAUGGGUUAAUACCCUGUGUGGAUGAUGGUACCGGAAUGAGAAGCACCGGUUAACUACGUGCCAGCCGCCGCCGUAAAAC
rnacentral:rRNA from 1 species